rnacentral:tRNA from 1 species
UCUAGUUUGGCAGAGUAAAGUUGAGUGCGAUAGAUUUAGGUUCUAUUCAGGUGUUAUAAUCACAGCUAGUA